UACGAAGGGGGCUAGCGUUGCUCGGAAUCAUUGGGCGUAAAGCGUGCGCAGGCGGUUCGUUGUGUCGGUGGUGAAAUCCCCGGGCUUAACCUGGGAAUGGCCAUGGAAACUGGCGAACUGGAGUGCGGCAGAGGGGGGUGGAAUUCCGCGUGUAGCAGUGAAAUGCGUAGAGAUGCGGAGGAACACCGAUGGCGAAGGCAGCCCCCUGGGCUAGCACUGACGCUCAGGCACGAAAGCGUGGGGAGCAAACAGG
rnacentral:rRNA from 1 species